GGAGAAAAUACAGUAUCUGGUGCCGCGAAAGCGGAGAAUAGGGAACCGGGUGUAAUUCCCGGACGGACCCGCCACUGUAACGGUGAGAAACCACCAUAACCACUGUCUUAUUAGGCGGGAAGGGGUGGGGACAUUGAACCGUAGUCAGGAGACGAGACCUGCCCGAUACGCUGAUCAAAA
rnacentral:ncRNA from 2 species